GUGUCACCUGUGCAACCAAUCCGGGCAUUGGAUGCCAGACUGUCCCCUGAGGCGGGAGUUUUACGAAUUUAAAAAGAAACAUCGGCCUCAGGGGACCCCACAACACCAACCAAAAAACUAAAUUGCAAGCGCGCCUCCUCCCCGCGCCACGAUAAAAAUAGGGCAGGUGUCACCAUUCCACCACGCGGGGAAAAGGGAAGGGAGGGGGACCUCCAGCAGGACCUGCCGGUUGCCACAGACUCUAAAACUUUACCAGACUUAACUUCUCACGAACCUAUUUCUGAUCUUUUUCAGGCGGUACCUCGGCCAGUCCUAACAACCACUUCCAGGACGACCCCCUUUCGGUUGCAGUUGACGGAGCCGCUCCAUCUUAUUGACUCAAAUAUCCAACUCGUCUCCGUCAGUCCGGAGUGCCCAGAAAGCCCGAGAAUGUCCAUCCCCAUAACCCACAUCGAGCUGAUCAUUUUCUGGAACUUUUUUGCCAUCGCGAGCUCAUGGAUUGUCCCUCAACCCAAGCAAAACAUUUGGAAGAUGCUCGCUGGCGCCCUCGGCAGAGAUCAUUUGUGUCUCUCCGCCACCUCGGCAGCAGACCCCUUGUCGACCUGCCUUGUGGGGAUCCCGCUUCCUCCAAAAGAGUUUCCCGAGCCCCUUUACUCCUUCCUUGAACCCCUUUCCCAAAAUAAAGUUUUCAGUCCCUCUAGUCCCAAUCCCAAUCCAAUCUGGAGGAGGCUAAUGUCCAAAUUGAAUAUAUCUAAAUCUGACCCCACCGAAUUUAAAUUGCUCGGCUCCGCGUCAGCAAAUUUGUGUGUUCAAUUUUUCCCUUCCCGCGACCGCUACGAAAAAUCUUUUACACCAAUUAUAGAACAGAAUCAAAACUACGCGGCAGGGAAUUGGUGUUCUGUCA